rnacentral:rRNA from 1 species
UACGGAGGGUGCAAGCGUUGCUCGGAAUUAUUGGGCGUAAAGGGUAGGUAGGUGGUCUUAUUUGUCUGGGGUGAAAUCCUUGAGCUUAACUCAAGAAGUGCCCUAGAAACGGUAAGACUAGAGUCCUGGAGAGGGUCGUGGAAUUCCCGGUGUAGCGGUGAAAUGCGUAGAGAUCGGGAGGAACACCAGAGGCGAAAGCGGCGACCUGGACAGGCACUGACACUCAACUACGAAAGCGUGGGGAGCAAACAGG